rnacentral:rRNA from 1 species
AUUGAACGCUGGCGGCAGGCCUAACACAUGCAAGUCGAACGAGUGGCGGACGGGUGAGUAAUGUCUGGGAAACUGCCUGAUGGAGGGGGAUAACUACUGGAAACGGUAGCUACUACCGCAUACCAUCAGAUGUGCCCAUAUGGGAUUAGCUAGUUGGUGGGGUAACGGCUCACCAAGGCGACGAUCCCUAGCUGGUCUGAGAGGAUGACCAGCGAAACUGGAACUGAGACAGGGACAAGAGUCCUACGGGAGGCAGCAGUGGGGAAUAGUGGACAAUGGGGGCAAGGCUGAUGCAGCCAUGCCGCGUGUAUGAAGAAGGCCUUCGGGUUGUAAAGUACUUUCAGCGGGGAGGCGGUACCCGCAGAAGAAGCACCGGCUAACUACGUGCCAGCAGCCGCGGUAAUUC